GUUCAGUUGAUGAUACGCUUUCAUCAUGCAGCAACACUGUGUCUCUCUCUUUUAUCAAGUAGUACUGUUUCUUUCUCUUUAUACUGUUUGAAGAUCUUAGGCACUUACAUGCAAGUUACCUAGCUGUUGUUUUGUCUUGGCAGAUACUCAAUUACAUCUUUCUCUUUGGCAAAUGGUAAACUUCUGAUUGAAGGUACAUCAUUAGCUGGGAAGCAUCCUGCUUGGGCAUUCCUAGUACAGAGAAGGAAAAGGUAAUCAGAGUUCUGAACAGUGAGGAAUAAGAAGACAAGUGAUGACACUGGAGUAGUUAUCCAGAGAUGGUGUGCCCUGGAAACAGGCAUAAGUAGCAGUCAUUUUUGGUGAAACAAAACUAUCCUCUUUGAGUCACCAUAAAGAAAAA